ACGGAGGGGGCUAGCGUUGUUCGGAAUUACUGGGCGUAAAGCGCACGUAGGCGGACUAUUAAGUCGAGGGUGAAAUCCCAGGGCUCAACCCUGGAACUGCCUUCGAUACUGGUAGUCUAGAGAUCGAGAGAGGCGAGUGGAAUUCCGAGUGUAGAGGUGAAAUUCGUAGAUAUUCGGAGGAACACCAGUGGCGAAGGCGGCUCGCUGGCUCGAUACUGACGCUGAGGUGCGAAAGCGUGGGGAGCAAACAGG
rnacentral:rRNA from 1 species